AAUGGCAACCUAGCUUCUAUAUCACUGGCAAUAAAUGUAAACACUACUUUACAAAAGUGAGUAAUUCAACUUUUGUUAACAUUACGUCUCCCUUAGAAUCUCUCAACCUCUCUUUUUCUCCAAGUCUAUCAUCCAUCCUUACCCACCAACCACAAAUCUGCAAGAAAAAGAAGUCAGCGGAGGCACUAAGUCGAAAGAAUUUUCCGGCGGAUUUCGUUUUCGGGGCAGCAACAUCUGCUUACCAGUAUGAAGGUGGAGCAAGCGAAGGUGGCAAAGACUAACUGAGACACUUACACUCAUAAAUAUCCAGAGCAGAUAAGAUUGACGACGGAAGCAAUGGAGACGUUGCUGUGGAUUCCUAUCACCGAUAUAAGAUGGGACACUAAAUGGGGGCGUAAAUGACGAAUGCAUCCAAUACCAUAACAGCCUCAUAAACGAGCUUCUUUCCCAAGAGAUGACUUUGGAGACUGGAGGUUUGUUAUAAAGCUUUUGGCGAUCGUGUGAAGCAUUGGACCUUAAAUAAACCAUGGACCUUCUCCUAUGGAGGAUAUGUCAAGGGCUUCUAUCCACCGGGCAAUGUGAAUAAUUCAGGGAUAGAGCCAUAUAUUGUGAGCCACCAUUUGCUCCUUGCCCAUUCAGUUGCAGUAGAAAUAUACAGGAAGAAGUACCAAGUAAGUUCUUAUAUAUUGCAUAUACCUAAUUGAUUAUCAUUAUUGUUAUGUGUGCCUCAAAUUCUUAUACCCAUUUUGAAAAUUGUCUUAUUCUAACAUUUUUUGUGAUGACCAGAUGAGAAUUUUUUUUUCUGAUAUUUGUGAGGGUAGCAGAGGGCGAGCCCAUGCCCCUAUGGUACAAUACGGUAUCCGAUAGAUCGAUCCAAUUUAAAAGAAUAUAUAUUUGUUCUAUUGUCUUAUUGUGGAAGCAAGUGAGAUUUAGGGGUUUUCAUAUUAGGAUAUUUAGGGAAGAGUUCUUAUUGCAAAUUUCGGUGUUCUUGAGAGAUCUUCAUUACAAUCUUUCUUCCAUCAUAUAAUGAAUAGUCUUUAUCUUCGCUCGUGAAUGUAACAAAUCACAGUAGUGUAUGAACCACAUUAAGUCUUUGUGCCAUCUUUGCUUUAAUCUGUUGUUUGUAUUUUUUCCAACAAUUACAACCCAAAAGACUAGAAACUUAUAUUGCAUCUUCUUGUUUCGUUACACAUAAAUUAUAUUAGAUGUCAAUGUAUCCAGGAAUCUCAAAAAGCCAAGAUUGGAAUUGCAUUGAAUUAUUUUUGGAUGAUUCCUUUCUCUGAGGACCAGGCUGACAUUGUUGCUGCUGAACAAGCUAGCUUCUGAUUUCAUGUUUGGAUGGUGAUUGCUACAAAAUCCCUAUUGGUGAACCGAUUGCCUCAGAUUGGCUUUACAUCUACCCUUCGGAAAUUCGAGACAUUUUAAUUCGCAUAAAGAUAAAGUACAACAAUCCUAUCAUCUAUGUCGCAGAGAAUGGAAUUUCUAAUGAUGGAAAAAUACCAUUAGAUGAAAA